AUUGAACGCUGGCGGAAUGCUUUACACAUGCAAGUCGAACGGCAGCACGGGGCAACCUGGUGGCGAGUGGCGAACGGGUGAGUAAUAUAUCGGAACGUGCCCAAUCGUGGGGGGAUAACGUAGCGAAAGUUACGCUAAUACCGCAUACGAUCUACGGAUGAAAGCGGGGGAUCGCAAGACCUCGCGCGAAUGGAGCGGCCGAUAUCAGAUUAGGUAGUUGGUGGGGUAAAGGCUCACCAAGCCAACGAUUUGUAGCUGGUCUGAGAGGACGACCAGCCACACUGGAACUGAGACACGGUCCAGACUCCUACGGGAGGCAGCAGUGGGAAUUUUGGACAAUGGGCGCAAGCCUGAUCCAGCCAUUCCGCGUGCAGGAUGAAGGCC
rnacentral:rRNA from 1 species